GGUGACACCAUGCUGCUGUCCCCAUGGGGUGAGGGUCAGGGUCAGGGUGGAGGUGGUGACACCACGCUGCUGUCCCCAGGGUGUGAGGGUCAGGGUGGAGGUGGUGACACCAUGCUGCUGUCCCCAGGGUGUGAGGGUCAGGGUGGAGGUGGUGACACCACGCUGCUGUCCUCAGGGUGUGAGGGUCAGGGUGGAGGUGGUGACACCAUGCUGCUGUCCCCAGGGUGUGAGGGUCAGGGUGGAGGUGGUGACACCAUGCUGCUGUCCCCAGGGUGUGAGGGUCAGGGUCAGGGUGGAGGGAGAGCCCUGCCUCCUGGGGCUCCCCACCCUUUCAUGUGCUCAUCACUCUGACGUGGAAACUAGUGCUGCUGCAGACAAGGAGUCAAAUAUCAUGUCAAAUGGGAUCGCACUGCAAAAAGGCCAAAGGGCGGCUUUAGGGAGUGUGUGCAUGCAUGCUCACGACUGGGUGACUGCACGAUUCUGUGUGUACGUGCGCU
ensembl:lncRNA